rnacentral:rRNA from 1 species
AUUGAACGCUGGCGGCAGGCUUAACACAUGCAAGUCGAGCGGGGAAGGGUAGCUUGCUACCUAACCUAGCGGCGGACGGGUGAGUAAUGCGUAGGAACCUGCCACUUAGUGGGGGACAACAUUCCGAAAGGAAUGCUAAUACCGCAUACGUCCUAAGGGAGAAAGCAGGGGAUCUUCGGACCUUGCGCUAAAUGAUGAGCCUAAGUCGGAUUAGCUAGUUGGUGGGGUAAAGGCCUACCAAGUCGACGAUCUGUAGCGGGUCUGAGAGAAUGAUCCUCCACACUGGGAGUGAGACACGGCCCAGACUCCUACGGGAGGCAGCAGUGGGGAAUAUUGGACAAUGGGCGGAAGCCUGAUCCAGCCAUGCCGCGUGUGUGAAGAAGGCCUUAUGGUUGUAAAGCACUUUAAGCGAGGAGGAGGCUACCUAGAUUAAUACUCUAGGAUAGUGGACGUUACUCGCAGAAUAAGCACCGGCUAACUCUGUGCCAGCAGCCGCCGUAAGAC